GUGCUAGAAAUACUUCUUUUUAUCCUGGAUUUGCAAAAUCUGGUGUGCUUCUGCAUUAAACUUGCAGAUUCACUUCAAUGGAUUCAAACACAAGGCGGUUGAAGAAGCACUGAAAGCUCAUGGCAUUGGUAAGUACAAGAUUUUUUUCCUUCCUGUUCUGUUCUAUACAUGUGCCUUUCCCUCUGUCCCAAUGUAGAAGUUCAUGAAACAAACAAGAAAAAGGCUUUCUGGAGACUUGUGCUUUAAGACCUGUCUAGUGUUCUUUAAUGACAUAACUACCUAAUGCUACAGAAAUCUAUCAAUAAUAUGAGUAAGAGGUAUGCAAAAUUACAAUACCACAAAUCACCUUAAUUAAACUUUUGAGAAACCUUAAAGAAUUUAAGACCCUAGAGACCUUUAAGAUUUAAAAUAUCUCAAGGUUCUCCGUCCCCAGCUGUGUCACAUGCCGUGUGUGUAUAGAAAAAGGUAUUUGACUGGAGAGGGGAUAACUGCUGACCUUUUUCAGAAGGCAGCAGGGUUCUGGGCUGAGUCAAGUACCCUGGCAGGCAGUGUAUGGGCCAGCAGUUUAAGUGCCUCGAGUUCAUUGGAUUUAAAUUAAAUUGCUGCAAUGUACUGGAUUAAAGUAGCCCUGAAAUUUAUGAAAUUAAGCUUUGUUCAUUGUAGAAUAGAAAAUAUUUGCACAGUAGUGAGUGAGUCAGGUUUUCCCCUUGUUGCAGGUUGUCUUCUAUAUAAACUAUAUUGCAGCCAGAAUUACUUUCAGUUUAAGCCACUGUUUAAUAAUAUAAUUUUGUGAUGUGUGUUGGAAUCUUUGUUGUAUGCUAACUAGUGUCUUGAUUGGUCUUCCUUUCUACCUGCUUCGUCAAAUUGCCUGACAUUAAAUACCUUUGCUACUGUUUGGUGUGAUUUGGAUGUCUUUUGUCUGUUUUUUGGACAUCUCAUAGCACAUUCAAAACUAAGCAUAGCUUAUUUUUCUUGUGUCAACGAAAGCUCAAACUUUGCUUUAAAAAAAAUCCAUCAUACCAAAUUGGUUUCUACACUUAUCAUUUAAUUUCCACUUCUGUUUUUUUAUUUAGUAAUGGCUCAGGGAAGCAAGUGAAAAUACCUGUGAAACUUCCUGAUUAUGUGCAAAUGCAGCCAGAGAGGUAUCAUGGACAGACCUUGCAAGAACAGCUUAAUACAUGAAAAGAUUCAGAACUUGCACUCAGACUUAAUUAUAUCAUUGAAUACUGACCAAAAGAAAAUUCCCCUUUUCUCUAUGAAUGUCAACUGUGCCACUGCCAAACAGGACUGAGUAACAUGUUCAUGCAUGUUUGUGGUCCAAACACAGACUGGCA